UGAGGGUGGACUUGACUACUUGGGAAACCCAAGCUUGGUCCAUGCUCAGAGCAUCUUGGCCAUCUGGGCUACCCAAGUCAUCUUGAUGGGGGCCGUUGAGGGUUACCGUGGUGCUGGAGGACCUCUAGUAGAAAUUGUUGAACCCCUUUACCCCGGAGGAAGCUUUGACCCAUUAGGCCUUGCAGAAGAUCCUGCAGCAUAUGCUGAGCAUAAGGUGAAGGAACUGAAGAAUGGAAGACUAGCCAUGUUCUCGAUGUUUGGUUUCUUUGUACAAGCUAUUGUGACAGGAAAGGGACCAUUAGAGAACUUAGCUGACCACCUUGCAGACCCUGUAAACAACAAUGCCUGGGCCUUUGCCACCAACUUUGUUCCCGGAAAGUGAGAGAUAGUCUUUUGCAGUUGUAAUUGUAAUGUAGUUUAAGAAUUCUGUGUGGUGUAAAUUGGUACGAUCUCUUAAUGGCAAAAUAAUGAUUUUUAAUUUGCUUCUAAGUUCUAAUGCUGCUAAUCUGCAAUGUUUUUUUUCUUCUUUUACUUUCUUAAGUCUUCUGUCUUUUACAUUUCAACUUCUUCAUAUAUCUGACUUGUUAAUUUUGUAUGAGAUUCCAAAAUUAAUAUGAGCUGGGAUUUGAAAAUUGUAUGCAAUAUAUAGUCUUAAAUUUGUGCGUAAUGUUCUCCAAGGGUUAGACGACUCCCAUUGCAUAUGAGGCCUGACAAAGCUUCAGUGAUAAUUUGAGAAUGUUUAUGUUGUAGCAGUGAUAUAAAACUUCAUAAUUUUAAGCACAAAAAGAGUUAGACAAUGGUUUGAAGUAAAAAGAGUUUUCCUUUAUGAGAGUGCUUAUAGCCGAUCGUUUAUGUAGAAAAAAAUAUUUAGCAAAGUAGGAUAUCUUCCCCCUGUUUUGUAUUCAAUAAAACUCUACAAUGCCAGAUGGUUAUGUAUAGCUUUUGGUACAUCUGUUAAAAAAGAUAUAACUACUUCCAAAUAGAUUUUUCACACUCUCAUAUAUUACAUUUACUUUCUAAACAUUCUUGCAACACACUUGAUACAGUCAUCAUUGUAUAACAACAAUUGUAUUUAAAUGUAUCAGUAGCUAAACACAAUUACUUUCGUUCUUUCUAUCUGUUUAGAUGGAAUCCUCCGUAAGAAUCAAGGAAAUGAUUAUAGAAGAGGAUGAUUAAGGUAGAAUUAUUGACAGGGGUUUCAGAAGAAAUAACUUGAAGAGGAAGUUGUGAUGGAGCUGUUUGGAUAAAUUAUUCCUCAAGUGGUCUUUCACUAUGAUUAUGCUUUGCAUGAUAUUUGUUUAAUGAUUGUGCUAUAUUUUAUUAUGCUCUUUUCGAAGAAUAGAAUAGCAGAACUCAAAAGAAACUAGGCAGAGAUCUCUUUUGCUUACAAGUCUCCUGCAUCAGCACGGUUCGAGUAAAGUUCCAGUAUAAGCAGGGCUAUCCCUAUUUAUUGUUGGAUUUUCAAAUUCUGUACUAGCAAUGAAUAUUUCACCAGUAACAGUGAAUUUCCAGUAGACGUCUUUUGUUGUCACACAAGUAUUGUUCUACAAAGAUAAUAUGUGACAGUUCCAUCUUCUCUGGAGAUUAUAUGCGUCGACUGACAAGUCAAAUAUGAUUCUAAACACGACAUCUAAUCCAACUACAAUAAUUGUUGAGCAUCCCUGAAAUUCACGAUCACAGGAUUUACACUGUAAUUACCUCUCAAUAUAUUGUUCCACAGUUUUUCCAGUUUCAAGGUUUUCCUGCAUGUUUCCAAAUUCUGAACCAAGUGAUCCAUACACUGUCAGGAAGUAGGGAAGUGCAGUAAUACCAUAUCCACCAUACUUGUAUUCUCUGUUGUAGUGAUAACAAAUAUAAAAAUUGAUAUCUCAUUCCGCUUCAAAAUUGCUUUUCAAUAAAACCAUCAACUCACUAGUACUAGAACAGUUCUAUAAAGAGUUGUCACUUGUUCUUAUGUUAUUGCGUUAUAGAUUUUAUUUGUCUAGUGUUUUAUAAAUACAUUCGUGAUACAUAUGCUUUAGAGGCAAAGCACAAGACUGAAUUUACAAUAGUAGAAUAGGCGACAAGACUGUUUCAGAGAGAAAAAACAAAAUGAAUUAAUAGGAUUGUGCAGUUUUUCAAUAAAACACAGAGUGAAGAUCAGCUAAGGAAGCAUCAAGUUAGGUAAAAGGCAUCAGAUAGGAAAUUUCCAAAAAGGGCAUCAGAUUUGAGUAACAGAAGUGUAGAAAACCAGUAAAACAGAUAGCCCUUGUUUACUUUAAUAUGUUUAGGAAUAUAGUUUAUUGCAAAAUGUAGGCCAGCCAUUGAACUCUUUAUGAUUUUCUUAUUUCGCUUAUCAGUAAGCUCAGAUAUGUGAAUGAAACUGAUUACCUGCGAAAAUUGGGAAUAACGACUGAUGUUUAACAUAAAAAUGCAGUUCAUUUCUUUUGUUCAAGUAAUUUUACUAUCUGCUUUUCUACCACGUAUGUAUUGUUCGCCAGAAAAGGCCUCAAAGAACAAAAUAGCAUAAUAAACAGCUAGGCAUAUCAGCAAAAUCAGUAAAAACCACCUUGGAAAUUAGACCUUUUGGACUGAAAAAUGAGAUCAAUUUACAUUGCACACUCUACUCAUAACAUAAAUAUUACAAACUGAAUAAACUAUGUCUCUCACUUUCCGGGGACAAAGUUAGUGGCAAAAGCCCAGGCAUUGUUGUUUACAGGGUCUGCAAGGUGGUCAGCUAAGUUCUCUAAUGGUCCCUUUCCUGUCACAAUAGCUUGUACAAAGAAACCAAACAUCGAGAACAUGGCUAGUCUUCCAUUCUUCAGUUCCUUCACUUUGAGCUCUGCAAAUGCCUCUGGAUCUUCAGCAAGUCCCAAUGGGUCAAAGCUUCCUCCAGGGUAAAGUGGGUCGACGAUUUCACCAAGAGGUCCUCCAGCAACACGGUAGCCCUCAACGGCCCCCAUCAAGAUAACUUGGGUAGCCCAAAUAGCCAAGAUGCUCUGAGCAUGUACCAAACUUGGGUUUCCCAGGUAGUCAAGUCCGCCUUCACUGAAGAUCUGCGAUCCAGCCUUGAACCACACGGCCUCACCAAACUUGACACCAUUACGAGCCAAGAGCUCUGGGAACACACACCCAAGGGCUCCAAGCAUGGCCCAUCUGGAGUGGAUCACUUCGAGUUCACGGUUCUUGGCAAAAGUCUCGGGGUCAGCUGAGAGCCCAGCAGUGUCCCAACCGUAGUCACCUGGAAAUUCACCAGUGAGGUAAGAUGGGGCCUCACCGGAGAAAGGGCCUAAGUACUUGACACGGUCUGGACCAUACCAUGGGCUGUUAGACACUGGUGCCUUGACAGACUUUCUCAUGGAAAUCCUUCCAUUUCCAAAGAGCUCAGAUGAAGAUGGAGCUACUUUGACUGCCUUUCCGGCCAAAGCUGGCGAAGAGAGGGCCAUUGUUGAAGCAGCCAUUGCAGAAUCAAAGUAAAAACUAUUAGAAGAAAUAUAGACAAGUAAGUUGUUUGUGAGUUUGUGCUGAAUAGGUUGGAAUAAGGAGUAUAUACAAGUGUAAAGGACUAUGAGUGUUUAUCUUUGGAGAUCUCUUAGUCUUGUUUCAUUGGUUCAUCAUAUUCUAAUAACACAAUUAUUUUCUCAUCCAAUUGGCAACCUCUCUACCCCAAAGUAGUCAUGGAUGUAUUAGGUGUCACUCUGUGCAGCGACAUAUCUACUUGACAAUAAGUUGUUAGAGAGAACCAAUUCUUGAUCGCCACGAGUACAAUGUGAUAAUGUUAUAUCUGUAUCACAUGCCUUGGCUAAUAGAAGUUGUAUAACCGUUGAAGGAUCAAGACUGUCUGCAUAUAUGUCAAUGCAAAUGAAUAUGAUUUAUGACAAAAUUAAGUUAAUAAAAUUCGUUAACAAGUUUUUCAGAGGCUUAGCAGUCAGGAUAGCCACUGGUGGUAAUUUGUUAACAGUGUGUGACAAAAGAUAUGCUCUGCCUACUGUAGAGUGUAGACUGCUAUAUCUUGUGGCUGAAUUUUUCCUACACAAAGUGCCAAAGAGUGAUAAUUCAGUUAUAGCCAAGAAAGAAUAACGUCGAGUUUUACUAGUUCCUGCUGGAUCACUUACUUAUUAGAUUUAUAAACUUAGAAAAAUGAUGGUGAUAUUUUGUUAAAAUGUAAUCUUUAGUAGUUAAUCAAAUGUAUGUGUUUCUUAAGUAGACAUUCUGACGCAGUUGUGGUGAACGUUUAGUAUAUACGCUCCAUAGUGUUUACAAUCCUUUACACUCUAAGCAAUCUGUACUCCAAUGCAGUGAGAUGUAAUGAAAUAAUUAUGAUAAAUCUCAACUGAAGUAAUGCAUUUCAUUUUUUGAAUAUAACAAGUAAUUAACGAAUACACAGGUGGUCGAGUUUGCUCAUGCAGUCUGUGACUUGAUAUGGAGUAAUCUGGAAAUGACAACUAAUAAGCCCAAAUCAAGAAAUUGUUGCAGAUGGCUCAUUAUUGAGUUCCACCAACUAGAUAUACGAAACUGGUGGUUCGCAGAAACACAAAGAGCCACAAGAUCUUAUCUUCCAAUCAAAACACAGAUAAGGAUAUUGCAAGAUCACUGAUAGGCUAUCUCCAGGGCAGUAUAAAUACUUACAUAGCCAAACAAUUCUUUCUUCACCAAUACUACCAACAAACAUCACCCACAAAGCUUCCUCAGCUUCUACAUUUUCAAUACAAUGGCUGCUUCAUCAAUGGCCCUCUCUUCUCCUUCAUUUGCAGGAAAGGCUGUUCAAGUAGCUCCAUCUUCAUCAGAGCUCUUUGGAAAUGGAAGGGUUUCUAUGAGGAAGUCUGUCAAGGCCCCGGUGUCUAACAGCCCAUGGUACGGUCCAGACCGUGUCAAGUACUUAGGCCCUUUUUCUGGUGAAGCGCCGUCUUACCUCACUGGUGAAUUUCCAGGUGACUAUGGUUGGGACACAGCUGGGCUUUCAGCUGAUCCCGAGACUUUUGCCAAGAACCGGGAGCUUGAAGUGAUCCACUCCAGAUGGGCCAUGCUUGGGGCUCUCGGGUGUGUCUUCCCAGAGCUCUUGGCGCGUAAUGGCGUCAAGUUCGGUGAGGCUGUGUGGUUCAAGGCUGGAUCACAAAUCUUCAGUGAGGGUGGACUUGACUACUUGGGCAACCCAAGUUUAGUCCAUGCUCAGAGCAUCUUGGCCAUCUGGGCUACCCAAGUCAUCUUGAUGGGGGCCGUUGAGGGUUACCGUGUUGCUGGAGGACCUCUAGGAGAAAUUGUUGACCCCCUUUACCCCGGAGGAAGCUUUGACCCAUUAGGCCUUGCAGAAGAUCCUGAGGCAUUUGCAGAGCUUAAGGUGAAGGAACUGAAGAAUGGAAGACUAGCCAUGUUCUCGAUGUUUGGUUUCUUUGUACAAGCUAUUGUGACAGGAAAGGGACCAUUAGAGAACUUAGCUGACCACCUUGCAGACCCUGUAAACAACAAUGCUUGGGCCUUCGCCACCAACUUUGUCCCCGGAAAGUGAAAGAGUGUUUCAAUUUUUUUCACCUGUAAAAUAGUAACUGUAAUUAGCUUGUGU
rnacentral:lncRNA from 1 species